CGGGAUUUCCUAGUCAGUUCCUUCGACCCCUGGUCGUCACACCUGGAAGCCCCGAGAAUGAAAAGAUGUCCUAUUUUGUUAUAAGGCCUUUGAAGUGUCUGUGUUGAGGUAAAUACCCCAUCUGCACUAAAUCCCCACUCCCCACCCUGUUUGCAAGCACUUAAGUCUGCGGACAUGUCAGCAACUCAGAGUCCUCCAUAGCGGUGGGACAGAGGUGGUUGCUGCCUCCGAUGGUGGUUGGGAUUGAAGGCCUCACUCAGGAAAAUGUUUGGCAAAGUGAUGAAGAUGGAAACCCAGAGCUUUGCCCAUGUGAGGCAAGUGGUCUACCAUAGAGCUCUACCCCAGCCCUGAAUGUGUUGUAUAUGUCACAGUCAGGCCUUAUGUGCUCAAAAAAUCAU